rnacentral:rRNA from 1 species
UUUAGUCAGGCAACAAGCGAGACCCGUGCCCACAGUUGCCAGCAUGCCCUCAGGGGUGAUGGGCACACUGUGGGGACCGCCGCUGCUAAAGCGGAAGAAGGUGCGGGCUACGGUAGGUCAGUAUGCCCCGAAUCAUCCGGGCUACACGCGGGCUACAAUGGUUGGGACAAUGGGCCCCAACCUCGAAAGUGGAAGGUAAUCCCCAAACCCUAUCUCAGUUGGGAUUGAGGGCUGAAACCCGCCCUCAUGAACAUGGAAUCCCUAGUAAUCGCACGUCAUCAUCGUGCGGUGAAUACGUCCCUGCUCCUUGCACA